rnacentral:sRNA from 1 species
ACCUUCUGCCAUGAUUGGAAAUUUCCUGAGGUCUCCCCAGAAGCAUAAUCCUGUACAGCCUGCGGAAUUGUGAGCCAAUUAAAUCUCUUUUCUUUAUAAAUUACCUAGUUGCAGGUAUGCCUUUAUAGUGUGUGAGAACAGACUAAUACACCAGUAGAUAAUCUAAGGUAGAUCUCCUUUACAUCAGACAGAGAACUCAGCUAAUACAGUUGGUGACAAAGGAGACUCUGCAGGGGAGGAGCCAGGGGAAGAAAAUAUCCCGCCUCAUUCUGCUCCCUCUGAUCUCUGCAUUGACUAAACCUAACUAGAAGCCAGAGGCCAAAGGAAUCUGUCGAUAUACAAGCUAGCUUCCCAGUGGAUGGAGCAGGAUGGAGAAGAGGAAGAACGGGCCUGGAGGGACAAAGAAAGGGUUAAAAGAAAAGGUCCAUCCACAUCGUGGCGCUGGGGAACGAGGGGGACACGUUCCACCAGGACAACCGGCCGUCGGGGCUCAUCCGCACUUACCUGGGGAGAAGCCCUCUGGUCUCCGGGGACGAGAGCAGCUUGUUGCUGAACGCGGCCAGCACGGUCGCGCGU